rnacentral:rRNA from 1 species
UACGGGGGGAGCAAGCGUUGUUCGGAUUUACUGGGCGUAAAGGGCGCGUAGGCGGUCAGCACAGGUCAGUUGUGAAAUCUCCGGGCUUAACUCGGAAAGGUCAACUGAUACUGUGCGACUAGAGUGCAGAAGGGGCAACUGGAAUUCUCGGUGUAGCGGUGAAAUGCGUAGAUAUCGAGAGGAACACCUGCGGCGAAGGCGGGUUGCUGGGCUGACACUGACGCUGAUGCGCGAAAGCCAGGGAGCGAACGGG